GUGGAUUCACUCAACUUGGGUU
rnacentral:miRNA from 1 species